GACAGAGGAUGCAAGCGUUAUCCGGAAUGAUUGGGCGUAAAGCGUCUGUAGGUGGCUUUUUAAGUCUGCCGUCAAAUCCCAGGGCUUAACCCUGGACAGGCGGUGGAAACUACCAAGCUGGAGUACGGUAGGGGCAGAGGGAAUUUCCGGUGGAGCGGUGAAAUGCGUGAGAGGAUCGGAAAGAACACCAACGGCGAAGGCACUCUGCUGGGCCGACACUGACACUGAGAGACGAAAGCUAGGGGAGCGAAUGGG
rnacentral:rRNA from 1 species